AGAGCGCAGAAGACAGGCUGCUAGCGGCGCAAGGAGCCGCUGCCGUGGCGGCUGGACUCAACCAUCCCUACCCACAGAGAGGGGAACGGGGCUGGGCUCGGCGCAAUCCCAGACAGAGCCCAGCCUGGGCCCUCAGGCUCCCCGCACGGUGCUGCGCUCCAUUCGGCCUGCGGCGCGUCAGAGCGCAGGCUGGAGAGAGGAGACUUGUUGGGCGCUCGGGUGGGGGAAGCCCACGCCGCGCACGGGGGAGAAACCAUGUAUUGGCAACUCCAGCAAACCCGAGGGCUCUGCGGGGGCAGAGGCUGGCGGGCCUCCAUCUAUUGAUCUCGCUUUCUUUCGUAGCUGACCAGAGAGAAGCCCCCUGUGUAACUUAAGAAGGAAAUGCAGGUGGAAUGAAAAGGGCACAGCUCUGAUCCCAGGGAAAAUAACGUAUAUCUUUUUUAUUUUAUUUUAUUUUGGAAAUAGUCUGUAGUAGGUGACUAUUUACAGGGAGUUAUAUUUCCCCAGUUCCUUACUUUGAGUUGUGUUAGGGUUACCCAUGCACAGGAUUCAGAUCCAAGUGAAAUUUAAAAUGAGGAAGAGCUUCUGAAAUUGACACCCUGAUCUGGGUGUGAGAGCUGGCAGUGUAGACACACUUCAGUGAAACCCAAGAUCACAUUAAGUGGUGGGGAAGGACCGCAGAAAGAAAGGCAGAUCUUCUUCCUGAUUGUGCAAAGGGAUGGAGCAGGCAGAGAGAAGCCACUCUGAGACAGCAGUGUUUGAUGCCAGGAGCUGCAUUUCACCCAGCUCCCCAGAUGCAGGAGAUCUCACGAAAGCUCCGGGACAUGCAAAAGGCAAGACUUUCAGGGAAAGGUGGUGAGGUAAUGGAAAAAUAGAAACCUCAGGUGAGUGGUAAUUUCCACAAGGGGCAUUUCAAGGAUUCAUCCUUGUUAAUCAAAAGGUUUAGGUAAUUUCAGAGGAUUGGCAAGAGAGGAAGGUGAAGCCACACCUUGGUGAGGAGGAUCAUAACCCUCUCUGGAAGCACAGUAACAUACCAGCUACGCACUGGUCCCUGGAGCCACAUCAUGCUGGAAGGGGGGGGGGGCUGCUGUCACCAUCUGGACACCACUCAAUUACACCUGCAUUUGGUCGAGUCAGUCUUGGGGAUUUAAAUAGAUUGACAGAUUCAUAAUGUGUCAUAUUUCUUCUGUAGAUUUCUUAGACCCUUCCUGGCCCCGGUGCUGUUCUCUAGACUGCCUAAAAAUGUGAUGAUAAAUCCAGAAAUGGAGGACUGCACUCUAGAAGUGGGAGCACCAAAGCAGGAUUCCCUGAGUCUGCUUACAACCUGCCAGAGCAGUGGGACACACCACCAAUAACACUCUUCUCUCAUAUUUACAGAACUCCUAAAUAUGAGGUGCCCGACUGGCUUCUCUGAGAGGCAAUCCUAGAAAUAACUUGGAUUUUCCAAGGGCAGAGUCCUAUUUUGUCUUGAUUGUCUCUGGAGGGGGUCUAAGAAGACAGAAUAGCUCAAUAAAAUGGGAGUUCCUACUGGAAAGCCAUGGGUCCUGGUCUUAACAACCAGCCAGGCAUGGAGAGGAGAGGGCCCCCCUCUGUGAUUUUAAAUCAGACCUCAGAGGCCAUCUGUAGCUCAGUACCUGAGCAAAGAUGCUUCUUUAGACCCAGUAAGUGCUCCCAUGGUCUGCUUGGAGCUCCUUGUCAGAAGGCAUUGAUCUUCUUUGUGAGCUAAAGAGCUGCCUCUGAGAAACAGUGUCCUGUUUCUGCACUGCCAUUCCUAAUGACUCAUGUCACCAAGAAAUAUUCCUGCCAUUAAAAAACGUUUUGAAAAUCUUACCAUCCUAGGCUAGGAACCAGGUGAAUUUCAGGUUAUUAGGAUCCCAAUCAGGACCACUGAAUGUUACUUGGGAAAUCAAACAUAUUCACAUGUAGCUGUGACAGCACUAGGUUGAAGUCACCCUUCAUGGGGAUGUGCUUCGAAACCUUCUUUAGCCACCUUCUUUCUCCAGAGUACAAAGACCCUGAUUCCUGUCAUCAACAAAUAAGGGAAUCAUUUAUUUUUGGCCAUAUCACAUAUUAGGAUGUUGCCAUAAUCCGUGGUGAGCUGUCCCUUGAUCAUAAGUUUGAGGAGAGUGGAAAGCGGCUGCCAGAUGAGAAGGUUGAUUCUGUAACAUGGUUGUGUUUGUGUGUAGUAUUGCGACCCCCUCCCCGCGAUAUCAAGACCAGCUUGCUGUGGGAGAAAUCAUGGGGCACUGCUGCCAUCUAGUGCCCAGCUUUUCUUGUUUAGGGUUUGCAGUGAAAUUGCUCCGUGGGUCUCCUCUCCUAUCUGAUGUGGGGUUCCUCUGUGUUUUUUGGAAGACACCCACUCCAGCCUCCACUGCACAUGGUGUUCUGAAAACCUUCUUGUGAUCCGGCCACAUAUAACGCCUAUUGUUAUGUUACCAGAGGCUGUUUUUCCCUUUUGACUUUUAAAUGGUUGUGAAAGCUUGAGAUCUAUUAGAAUUCUCAUUCCUCUUGUUAGAGUACUCCUGCCCCAAUGGGAUCACAGCCCAGCCGUGCAGGAAGGUGGGCAGCUCUGUGGCCCUUCUCCUUGAGUGUCUUCAUGCCUGGCUCAGUGCACAUCUGCAUUAGGGAUUUGACUUCAUUUCCCAGCCUAGGCAUGACGUACUGCACGGCCUCUGGAUCCUGGAUAAGCUGCAUUAGAAAUAUUAUUGCCCUCAGGAGUAGGGAGAGAGUUGAGGAGGACAGUGAUUAAAAGCAAAGACAUCCUGAUACUUUAAAAAGGAUAAAGACUUCCCCCAAAUCAGACACCUGAAGGAAGAAUGGGUCACAGAGUGGCAGCAUACACAUCUGAAAGAUGCUGCAAGGAAAGAGGACCAGCACAUGUUAAGUGAAAUCACCCCAGGAGGGGACAGAAAAUAAGACCGUUGAUGAUCCCAUGGAAAACGUGUUUGCCUUCGUCUCCCUCCAGUGAUGAGAAAAGGAGGAUUCAGGGGACAUGUCGGGAUCACACCAUACUAUGGCCAGCAGCAGAAUUUCAUCAGGGCUUUUGCAGCAUCCGAGUUGAAAACCAUCCCCUGCAUCUCCUUCCUGCCCCAGAGGCCAAGGGCUCUGUACGUGGCCCUGCGUGCUGCUUCAUAGGAGAGCAGAGCUAGACAGCUUUGGAACCUCCAUUCCUUGAUGGCAGGAUGCUGGCGCUUCUCAAGUGCCUAUGAGGGACUUUCCCUGGACCUCCAUCAAAGGCAAAGGGACAUGGGACCAUUUGCAACUAUUUAUUCAAGACGUGUGGAGAGCAGCCUUCCCGACACCUGGAAAGCGGCGCUCCAGUACCAGGGGCCUUUCAUUUCGACGCCGGAUGUGAGGCCCAUCAGACGUGUCUGCUCCACUGCCCUUGGGCCUGCCAGGAUGGCCAGACAGAAGGCUCGGCGUGUUAGUGUGUCUGCAGCCGUACUGCCCAGCUGCCCUCCUAGUCUUGGAGGCUUUCCAGUGUCCAGGAGCACUCUGCAUGGAAGGUGCUCCUGGGGCUGGACAGCGGCUAGCCAACUCCUAACACGACCUUGUUGAGAAGGCGCGGUCCCUCACCAGCACUGCAGCAGGUAAGAUGUGGGGUGCAGUGCGGAGGGGUCCCCAAAGGGCCUCCAAGAUCCCGGACAGAGGUCCCCCCGGAACUCCCCCACAGCACCCUUCCCCCCACCAGGCCACGUAUCCACCUGCUCUUGUCGAUGUCUCAUACGUGGAGAAAUUAUUUCUGUGGGCAAAAUGUGGAUUUCCACUAACCUGAGCUAAUGUGUCAGUUCCUCUCUUUCCUAGCCAGGUGGCCCUGUGUGGUACCCUAGAUGCAAGAAUAGAUUGCCUUGUUUUUAAGAGAUCAUUUCUUUAACUCAUGUGAUUGUUGUGAGAUUAAGUUGAUAUAUGGAAAAUGCUGAAUUUGAAUUUGAAAAGAAAUAAAAGAUCAGUUCCUUUUUCUCUCCA